UGCUUGCAUCAUGAUUUACAUUUGAGUGAGUGGCGAACUGGUGAGUAACACGUGGGAAACCUGCCCAGAAGCGGGGGAUAACACCUGGAAACAGAUGCUAAUACCGCAUAACAACUUGGACCGCAUGGUCCGAGCUUGAAAGAUGGCUUCGGCUAUCACUUUUGGAUGGUCCCGCGGCGUAUUAGCUAGAUGGUGGGGUAACGGCUCACCAUGGCAAUGAUACGUAGCCGACCUGAGAGGGUAAUCGGCCACAUUGGGACUGAGACACGGCCCAAACUCCUACGGGAGGCAGCAGUAGGGAAUCUUCCACAAUGGACGAAAGUCUGAUGGAGCAACGCCGCGUGAGUGAAGAAGGGUUUCGGCUCGUAAAACUCUGUUGUUAAAGAAGAACAUAUCUGAGAGUAACUGUUCAGGUAUUGACGGUAUUUAACCAGAAAGCCACGGCUAACUACGUGCCAGCAGCCGCGGUAAUACGUAGGUGGCAAGCGUUGUCCGGAUUUAUUGGGCGUAAAGCGAGCGCAGGCGGUUUUUUAAGUCUGAUGUGAAAGCCUUCGGCUCAACCGAAGAAGUGCAUCGGAAACUGGGAAACUUGAGUGCAGAAGAGGACAGUGGAACUCCAUGUGUAGCGGUGAAAUGCGUAGAUAUAUGGAAGAACACCAGUGGCGAAGGCGGCUGUCUGGUCUGUAACUGACGCUGAGGCUCGAAAGUAUGGGUAGCAAACAGGAUUAGAUACCCUGGUAGUCCAUACCGUAAACGAUGAAUGCUAAGUGUUGGAGGGUUUCCGCCCUUCAGUGCUGCAGCUAACGCAUUAAGCAUUCCGCCUGGGGAGUACGGCCGCAAGGCUGAAACUCAAAGGAAUUGACGGGGGCCCGCACAAGCGGUGGAGCAUGUGGUUUAAUUCGAAGCUACGCGAAGAACCUUACCAGGUCUUGACAUACUAUGCAAAUCUAAGAGAUUAGACGUUCCCUUCGGGGACAUGGAUACAGGUGGUGCAUGGUUGUCGUCAGCUCGUGUCGUGAGAUGUUGGGUUAAGUCCCGCAACGAGCGCAACCCUUAUUAUCAGUUGCCAGCAUUAAGUUGGGCACUCUGGUGAGACUGCCGGUGACAAACCGGAGGAAGGUGGGGAUGACGUCAAAUCAUCAUGCCCCUUAUGACCUGGGCUACACACGUGCUACAAUGGAUGGUACAACGAGUUGCGAACUCGCGAGAGUAAGCUAAUCUCUUAAAGCCAUUCUCAGUUCGGAUUGUAGGCUGCAACUCGCCUAC
rnacentral:rRNA from 2 species